rnacentral:rRNA from 1 species
UACGGAGGGAGCUAGCGUUGUUCGGAAUUACUGGGCGUAAAGCGCACGUAGGCGGCUUUGUAAGUUAGAGGUGAAAGCCCGGAGCUCAACUCCGGAACUGCCUUUAAGACUGCAUCGCUUGAAUCCAGGAGAGGUGAGUGGAAUUCCGAGUGUAGAGGUGAAAUUCGUAGAUAUUCGGAAGAACACCAGUGGCGAAGGCGACUCACUGGACUGGUAUUGACGCUGAGGUGCGAAAAGCGUGGGGGAGCAAACAGG